rnacentral:rRNA from 1 species
UUAAAUACCGACCUGCAUGAAUGGCGUAACGAGAUGGGAGCUGUCUCAAAGAGGGAUCCAGUGAAAUUGUAGUGGAGGUGAAAAUUCCUCCUACCCGCGGCAAGACGGAGAGACCCCGUGGACCUUUACUAUAGCUUGACACUGCUAUUUGGAUAAAGAUGUGCAGGAUAGGUGGGAGGCUUUGAAGCUAGGACGCCAGUUCUAGCAGAGCCAUUGUUGAGAUACCACUCUUCUUUAUUUGGGUAGCUAACCAGCUUGAGUUAUCCUCAAGUGGGACAAUGUCUGGUGGGUAGUUUGACUGGGGCGGUCGCCUCCCAAAUAAUAACGGAGGCUUACAAAGGUUGGCUCAGAACGGUUGGAAAUCGUUCGUAGAGUAUAAAGGUAUAAGCCAGCUUAACUGCAAGACAUACAAGUCAAGCAGAGACGAAAGUCGGUCUUAGUGAUCCGGUGGUUCUGUGUGGAAGGGCCAUCGCUCAAAGGAUAAAAGGUACCCCGGGGAUAACAGGCUGAUCUCCCCCAAGAGCUCACAUCGACGGGGAGGUUUGGCACCUCGAUGUCGGCUCAUCGCAUCCUGGGGCUGGAGCAGGUCCCAAGGGUAUGGCUGUUCGCCAUU